GUUCAAUUUGAAAAGAAAGAGUUGUUUCGAGGGAACACGUAGGAGUGGUUCUGGUUAUAAUCUUCCUAUGUUGUAUUUCUUCAUUGCUACAAAUCCUUCAGCUAAUUGUCGUGAUCAGGACCAUGCUAUAACCCAGACCUCUUGGGGAGGUUUAUCUGUACUUUAUUUCCCUACUAAACGGAUGCGGUGUGCAGUCCCUAGUUACAAUGUUGGACUUGCUACAAACCAAAGAAUAGAUCCCUACAUCAGAUUGACGACCAAUUGUAACGACGCAGAGAAUAAACGUUUUAAUUUUGGU
rnacentral:lncRNA from 1 species